rnacentral:rRNA from 1 species
UACGUAGGGUGCGAGCGUUAAUCGGAAUUACUGGGCGUAAAGCGUGCGCAGGCGGUUUUGCAAGCCGGAUGUGAAAUCCCCGGGCUUAACCUGGGAAUGGCAUUUGGGACUGCAAGGCUGGAGUGCGGCAGAGGAGACUGGAAUUCCUGGUGUAGCAGUGAAAUGCGCAGAUAUCAGGAGGAACACCGGUGGCGAAGGCGGGUCUCUGGGCCGAUACUGACGCUGAGGAGCGAAAGCGUGGGGAGCGAACAGG